rnacentral:tRNA from 1 species
GCGUAAUUGGUUUAGUGGUAAAAUUCUCCGUUGCCAGUCACUAUAUUAUUUAUUAAAUUUAAUUAAAUUUAAUAUUUUUAUUUUUAUUUUUUAUUUUCUUUCAAUUAAUUAAUUUAUAGUAUUAAAUCUCUAGGGUAUUAUAGGUUCCUUCGGAAUCCAUAAUACCCUAAACUAAACUGGGUUCGAUUCCCAGAUUACGCA